CCUACGGGUGACAGCAGUGAGGAAUAUUGGUCAAUGGGCGGAAGCCUGAACCAGCCAAGUAGCGUGCAGGAUGACUGCCCUACGGGUUGUAAACUUCUUUUAUACGGGAAUAACGCGCCUUACGUGUACCGCUUUGCAUGUACCGUAUGAAUAAGGAUCGGCUAACUCCGUGCCAGCAGCCGCGGUAAUACGGAGGGUCCGAGCGUUAUCCGGAUUUAUUGGGUUUAAAGGGAGCGUAGACUGCAUGUUAAGUGAGUUGUGAAAUUUUGCGGCUCAACCGUAAAAUUGCAGUGCAAACUGGCAGCCUUGAGUACAGGUGAGGCAGGCGGAAUUCGUGGUGUAGCGGUGAAAUGCUUAGAUAUCACGAAGAACUCCGAUUGCGAAGGCAGCUUACUGAAGUGCCACUGACAUUGAUGCUCGAAAGUGUGGGUAUCAAACAGGAUUAGAUACCCGUGUAGUC
rnacentral:rRNA from 1 species